GCCGGGCACGGUGGCAGGUGCCUGUAGUCUCAGCUACUUGGGAAGCUGAGGUGGGAGGAUCGCUUGAGCCCAGGAGUUGGGCUGUAGUGAGCUAUGCCAAUCUGGUGUCCGCACUAAGUUCGGCAUCAAUAUGGUAACCUUCCAGGAGCGGGGGACCACCAGGUUGCAUAAGGAGAGGUGAACCGGCCCAGGUCGGAAACGGAACAGGUCAAAACUCCCAUGCUAAUCAGUAGUGGGAUCGCACCUGUGAAUAGCCACUGCACUCCAGCCUGGGCAACAUAGUGAGACCCCGUCUCUU
ensembl:misc_RNA Metazoa_SRP Metazoan signal recognition particle RNA